rnacentral:rRNA from 2 species
AAAUUGAAGAGUUUGAUCAUGGCUCAGAUUGAACGCUGGCGGCAGGCCUAACACAUGCAAGUCGAACGGUAACAGGAAACAGCUUGCUGUUUCGCUGACGAGUGGCGGACGGGUGAGUAAUGUCUGGGAAACUGCCUGAUGGAGGGGGAUAACUACUGGAAACGGU